CGGGAGAAUAAAUUAGAGAGGUAGAAAUGUGAGAGCUAUCCUAUAUUGCAUUACACUAUAUAUUUCUAUUGUGUAAUUAUCAAAUAUUUAGUUACUGGUAUUUUUACAUUGUCAUUUAAUUGUUCACAUU
rnacentral:pre_miRNA from 1 species